UGGGGAAUUUUGGACAAUGGGCGAAAGCCUGAUCCAGCAAUGCCGCGUGUGUGAAGAAGGCCUUCGGGUUGUAAAGCACUUUUGUCCGGAAAGAAAUCCUUGGCUCUAAUACAGUCGGGGGAUGACGGUACCGGAAGAAUAAGCACCGGCUAACUACGUGCCAGCAGCCGCGGUAAUACGUAGGGUGCAAGCGUUAAUCGGAAUUACUGGGCGUAAAGCGUGCGCAGGCGGUUUGCUAAGACCGAUGUGAAAUCCCCGGGCUCAACCUGGGAACUGCAUUGGUGACUGGCAGGCUAGAGUAUGGCAGAGGGGGGUAGAAUUCCACGUGUAGCAGUGAAAUGCGUAGAGAUGUGGAGGAAUACCGAUGGCGAAGGCAGCCCCCUGGGCCAAUACUGACGCUCAUGUACGAAAGCGUGGGGAGCAAACAGGAUUAGAUACCCUGGUAGUCCACGCCCUAAACGAUGUCAACUAGUUGUUGGGGAUUCAUUUUCCUUAGUAACGUAGCUAACGCGUGAAGUUGACCGCCUGGGGAGUACGGUCGCAAGAUUAAAACUUAAAUGAAUUGACGGGGUCAUAGCUGUUUCCU
rnacentral:rRNA from 1 species